rnacentral:lncRNA from 1 species
AGUACCGUGGCCAUGGUCACGAUGGUAAAAAUAAUACUUAUUAGGGUUGCUGCGGUGCUUCAGCUUCAUCCGUAUUUGCUGAGGCUCAGACAGCUCAGGCCAUAUCUGCAUCAACACUUUACUUCGAGGAACAGUCAGAGGUGUAUAGUUACUGUAACGCCUAGGAGGUGAGGAUUGUCUAUUCCUCCUAAGAGGACUUCG